rnacentral:rRNA from 1 species
GAUGAACGCUGGCGGCGUGCCUAACACAUGCAAGUCGAGCGAGAUAAAUGUGAGUGGAGACUUCGGUCAAAGCGAUCAUUUUGAAAGCGGCGGACGGGUGAGUAACGCGUGAGCAAUCUGCCCCAUACAAAGGGAUACCCACUGGAAACGGUGAUUAAUACCUUAUAAGACCACAAAGUCGCCCGGCUUAGUGGCAAAGAUUUAUCGGUAUGGGAUGAGCUCGCGUCUGAUUAGCUAGUUGGUGAGGUAAUGGCUCACCAAGGCGACGAUCAGUAGCCGACCUGAGAGGGUGAACGGCCACACUGGAACUGAGACACGGUCCAGACUCCUACGGGAGGCAGCAGUGGGGAAUAUUGCACAAUGGGCGCAAGCCUGAUGCAGCAACGCCGCGUGAAUGAUGAAGGCCUUCGGGUCGUAAAGUUCUGUCCUAAGGGAAGAAUACAGUGACGGUACCUUAGGAGGAAGCCCCGGCUAACUACGUGCCAGCAGCCGCCGUAA